CCCUUAGAUGUCCUGGACCGCACGCGCGCUACGCUGAGUGUCUGAGAUACGAGUCUGCCUGGUCCGGCAAGGUCUAGGUAAUCGCUAAAAGACACAUCAUGCUUGGGAUAGAUUAUUGCAAAUAUUAAUCUUGAACGAGGAAUUCCUAGUAAGCGCAAGUCAACAGCUUGCGUUGAUUACGUCCCUGCCCUUUGUACACACCGCCCGUCGCUACUACUGAUUGGAUGUUUAAGCGAGGUUCUCGAACUGCUAGCGACUUAGCUUCGGUGAGGUCGCAGUGUGGGAAGUGAACCUAGCUUUGGUGUCUAGAGGAAGUAAAAGUCGUAACA
rnacentral:rRNA from 1 species